rnacentral:rRNA from 1 species
GGGCGGCUUACUGGGCUUUAACUGACGCUGAGGCUCGAAAGCGUGGGGAGCAAACAGGAUUAGAUACCCUGGUAGUCCACGCUGUAAACGAUGAUUACUAGGUGUGGGGGGACUGACCCCUUCCGUGCCGCAGUUAACACAAUAAGUAAUCCACCUGGGGAGUACGGCCGCAAGGCUGAAACUCAAAGGAAUUGACGGGGGCCCGCACAAGCAGUGGAGUAUGUGGUUUAAUUCGAAGCAACGCGAAGAACCUUACCAGGUCUUGACAUCGAGUGAAGUAUUCAGAGAUGAGUACGUCUUCGGACACAAAGACAGGUGGUGCAUGGUUGUCGUCAGCUCGUGUCGUGAGAUGUUGGGUUAAGUCCCGCAACGAGCGCAACCCUUACCAUUAGUUGCUACGCAAGGGCACUCUAAUGGGACUGCCGUUGACAAAACGGAGGAAGGUGGGGAUGACGUCAAAUCAUCAUGCCCCUUAUGACCUGGGCUACACACGUACUACAAUGGCAAUCGAACAGAGGGAAGCAAUACAGCGAUGUAAAGCAAAACCCGAAAAAUUGUCUCAGUUCGGAUUGCAGGCUGCAACCCGCCUGCAUGAAGUCGG